rnacentral:rRNA from 1 species
UACGGAGGGAGCUAGCGUUGUUCGGAAUUACUGGGCGUAAAGCGCACGUAGGCGGCUUUGUAAGUUAGAGGUGAAAGCCCGGGGCUCAACUCCGGAAUUGCCUUUAAGACUGCAUCGCUAGAACGUCGGAGAGGUGAGUGGAAUUCCGAGUGUAGAGGUGAAAUUCGUAGAUAUUCGGAAGAACACCAGUGGCGAAGGCGACUCACUGGACGACUGUUGACGCUGAGGUGCGAAAGCGUGGGGAGCAAACAGG